rnacentral:rRNA from 1 species
UACGGAGGAUCCGAGCGUUAUCCGGAUUUAUUGGGUUUAAAGGGUGCGCAGGCGGGGGAUUAGGUCGGCGGUGAAAUGUCAGGGCUCAACCUUGAAAGUGCCGUCGAAACCGGUUUUCUUGAGUGCGGAUGAAGUAGGCGGAAUUUGUGGUGUAGCGGUGAAAUGCGUAGAUAUCACAAGGAACACCGAUUGCGGAGGCAGCUUACUAAACCGCAACUGACGCUCAUGCACGAAGGCGUGGGGAUCAAACAGGAUUAGAUACCCUGGUAGUCCACGCAGUAAACGAUGAUUACUGGCUGUUUGCGAUAUACAGUAAGCGGCUAAGCGAAAGCGUUAAGUGAUCCACCUGGGGAGUACGAUCGCAAGGUUGAA